rnacentral:rRNA from 1 species
CCUACGGGGGGCAGCAGUCGAGAAUCAUUCACAAUGGGGGAAACCCUGAUGGUGCGACGCCGCGUGGGGGAAUGAAGGUCUUCGGAUUGUAAACCCCUGUCAUGUGGGAGCAAAUUAAAAAGAUAGUACCACAAGAGGAAGAGACGGCUAACUCUGUGCCAGCAGCCGCGGUAAUACAGAGGUCUCAAGCGUUGUUCGGAAUCACGGGGCGUAAAGCGUGCGUAGGCUGUUUCGUAAGUCGUGUGUGAAAGGCGCGGGCUCAACCCGCGGACGGCACAUGAUACUGCGAGACUAGAGUAAGGGAGGGGGAACCGGAAUUCUCGGUGUAGCAGUGAAAUGCGUAGAUAUCGAGAGGAACACUCGUGGCGAAGGCGGGUUCCUGGACAUUAACUGACGCUGAGGCACGAAGGCCAGGGGAGCGAAAGGGAUUAGAUACCCUGGUAGUC